rnacentral:rRNA from 1 species
AGAGUUUGAUCCUGGCUCAGGAUGAACGCUAGCGGCAGGCCUAAUACAUGCAAGUCGAGGGGUAACAGGUGUAGCAAUACAUGCUGACGACCGGCGCACGGGUGCGUAACACGUAUAUAAUCUACCUUUUACUGGAGAAUAGCCCGAAGAAAUUCGGAUUAAUACUCCAUAAUAAUAUUGAGGGGCAUCUCUUGAUAUUAAAAGUUCAGACGGUAAAAGAUGAGUAUGCGCGAUAUUAGCUAGUUGGUGAGGUAACGGCUCACCAAGGCGACGAUAUCUAGGUGUACUGAGAGGUUACACCCCCACACUGGUACUGAGACACGGACCAGACUCCUACGGGAGGCAGCAGUAAGGAAUAUUGGACAAUGGUCGCAAGACUGAUCCAGCCAUGCCGCGUGCAGGAUGACUGCCCUAUGGGUUGUAAACUGCUUUUAUACGGGAAUAAACCCGGGUACGUGUACCCGGCUGAAUGUACUGUAAGAAUAAGGGUCGGCUAACUUCGUGCCAGCAGCCGCGGUAAGACGAAGGACCCAAGCGUUAUCCGGAUUCAUUGGGUUUAAAGGGUGCGUAGGCGGGUUGAUAAGUCAGUGGUGAAAGCCCAACGCUUAACGUUGGAACUGCCAUUGAUACUGUCGAUCUUGAAUGUGUUUGAUGUGGGCGGAAUAUGACAUGUAGCGGUGAAAUGCUUAGAUAUGUCAUAGAACACCGAUUGCGAAGGCAGCUCACAAAGCCACUAUUGACGCUGAGGCACGAAAGCGUGGGGAUCAAACAGGAUUAGAUACCCUGGUAGUCCACGCCGUAAACUUUGAUCACUCGCUGUUGGCGAUACACUGUCAGCGGCUAAGCGAAAGCGUUAAGUGAUCCACCUGGGGAGUACGGUCGCAAGACUGAAACUCAAAGGAAUUGACGGGGGCCCGCACAAGCGGUGGAGCAUGUGGUUUAAUUCGAUGAUACGCGAGGAGCCUUACCAGGGCUUGAAAGUUAGCGACUUACCGUGAAAGCGGUGAUCCCUUCGGGGCGCGAAACUAGGUGCUGCAUGGCUGUCGUCAGCUCGUGCCGUGAGGUGUUGGGUUAAGUCCCGCAACGAGCGCAACCCCUACUUCUAGUUGCCAACAGGUAAUGCUGGGGACUCUAGAGGAACUGCCCGCGCAAGCGGUGAGGAAGGUGGGGACGACGUCAAGUCAUCACGGCCCUUACGUCCUGGGCUACACACGUGCUACAAUGGCGGAGACAACGGGCAGCUACACUGCGAAGUGAUGCUAAUCUCUAAACUCCGUCUCAGUUCGGAUUGAAGUCUGCAACUCGACUUCAUGAAGCUGGAAUCGCUAGUAAUCGCGUAUCAGCAAUGACGCGGUGAAUACGUUCCCGGGCCUUGUACACACCGCCCGUCAAACAAUGGAAGCUGGGAGUACCUAAAGUCAGUAGUCGCAAGACGCUGCCUAGGGUAAAACCGGUAACUGGUGUUAAGUCGGAACAAGGUAGCCGUACCGGAAGGUGCGGCUG